UUAAGUUCAGCGGGUAGUCCUACUCGAUUUGAGGUCAAGUUGUCAGAGAGUGUCCUAAGACAGUUAGAAGCCCAGAGCUCCCAAUCGGCCACCCUCUUUCGAGGCGCCGGCGAAGACACUUAUCACGCCGUACUAUGUCCAACCGAAAGGUGCACUAAUGCAUUUAAGGUGAGCCACAGUAACGCAGCAACACCCAAGUC
rnacentral:misc_RNA from 1 species